rnacentral:rRNA from 1 species
CCGCGGCCAAGAGUCCGUGGUCCAACCCGAUCGAGGGUCGGUUC